ACAGUUACUAGUGUAGUGGUCAGCGCUACUGCCUUUGGAACUGAAGGUUACAGGUUCGAUUCCUGUCUUUGGCUGUA
rnacentral:tRNA from 1 species